rnacentral:lncRNA from 1 species
UCUACAUCCUCCAGGCGCUGACGUUCCAUGUUCUAAGUUCCCCCUCAGCUCCGACAUCCUGUGUCCUGUGAGGCUCCAGUGACCCUCGGAGCCCCGUGCCGAUGCCCUAGCCGAGGAGAUGAGUGAUGGCCAGGAAUUCCUACUGGGCUCUAGGUGUGAACCAGAUGUUCUAGGAAUCAUCAAAGGCACAGUCAAAGGCAUGGAUGUUAUCAAGGCUACAUAUGGGGCAUGUCAGGACAGAGUGGACCAGAGAACCAUCAACCCUAUCUGCUUUGGAUGUCAAUGGAUCUAAAAGAAGCAGACAAGUACAGCAGAGCCUUCUCCAUUGGUCCCACUCCUGUCUUUAUUAUUUGUACCUUCCCAAAAUGAAAUCACUUUUGUCUGCACUUGACCAGCACAAGCAUCCCUGGUCUCCCUGCAUAAAUCUUAAAGUGCUUUAGAUGUGGGAGCUAGGAUCAUUUUCUUGUCUCCUUCAUUAAUUCAACAAACCUGUGUUAAGUGCUUACUCUAAUCCCUUCAGUUGUCAGUAUUCUCAGCCUCCUCACAUUAUCUGGUGAGUAUUUCUGAGUACCUGUGUGUAGCUUCACUCCAAGAUCCCCCCUCCAUCCAACUCUAGUGGAAUGCAAUGAGUGAUGACUGCUUUAUCUCCAUAGCACCCAGAACAGCAGCUCAC